CUGGUGGGUUUGUUCGAAGACACGAAUCUCUGUGCCAUUCACGCCAAGAGAGUCACCAUCAUGCCUAAAGAUAUUCAAUUGGCUAGGCGUAUUCGUGGAGAGCGUGCUUAGAAGAAUCACAUCUCUCAUCUAGUACUUUUGAUUUCUUUCUGUUUGUUUGUUUGUUUUAAGCAUAAUGCUUUGGUGUUAUAAACCUCUCUUUGAGGCUUAAGAACAUAGAUGGAUUGAGUAAUUGAUGUUAUGACACACUCUAUUUGUUAACUCUUGUUUCUCUCUCUAUGUUGAGUUUAUUGUGCGACACCACUAUUCCAAAGUAGAACAAACUCAUCAUUUUGUCAAUAUGGUUAGUCUUUAGAAUCACAGAUAUACUAUUCGUUAGUCAUAUCAUAUGUAGUUCAGGAAGCGUUUUACAAGCGCUUGUGUGUGAAUUUUAAGUUCAAACUCAUAAAGCAUGCACAAG
rnacentral:lncRNA from 1 species